GUACAGAUGAUGAGCUCUGCAGUAUUGAGUAGAAACGCUGAUGCUGUAAACGCUUUCUGAUGUG